UACAGAGGGUGCGAGCGUUGUCCGGAAUCACUGGGCGUAAAGGGCGCGUAGGGGGCCUGGUAAGUAGGGGGUGAAAUCUCGCGGCUCAACUGCGAGGCUGCCUCCUAAACUGUCAGGCUCGAGCAGAGUAGAGGCAGGUGGAAUUCCCGGUGUAGCGGUGGAAUGCGUAGAGAUCGGGAAGAACAUCGGUGGCGAAGGCGGCCUGCUGGGCUCUUGCUGACACUGAGGCGCGACAGCGUGGGGAGCAAACAGG
rnacentral:rRNA from 1 species